rnacentral:tRNA from 1 species
GCAGUAGCUCAGCUGGUAGAGCAUCUGUCUUGUGAGAGGAAGGUGGCUAGUCCGAUUCCAGCUCGCGCUGCU